rnacentral:lncRNA from 1 species
GUACCCUGUUUGCUAGCUAAAGAAGAGAUAAUUAAAUAGACUCAAUCUUCAAACCCAUGUUAAGCGUGAGAUAAAUACAAAUACAAAAUAAACCAGGUUACAUCAAGAAAUUAAAUAAAACAAUCGUAAAAUAAAGAGAAGAUAAGAAAGACGACAUAGGCGCCCCCAAGCAUUUCGCUUGUUUUCUUGCUAUCGGGUGCACUCUAAGGAAGAUGCCAUGUGAUGACUCCAUGAUCGAGAAUGGGGGAGUCUUGCAUUAAGACUCCAUAUUUUACUCCAAAUACAUAUGCAAAAGAAAUAAACAAGCCAAGAAUUAGGAAGAAGAAAAAAUCUGUUUUUUCUUUAGUGCUAAAGAGCAGAGGUUAAUAAUAAGUAGAAUCACUUCAAGUAAUAUUGAUAUUCAAAUUAUCUAAAUAAGUUAUUAGCACACUCAUAGCUUAUCAUCUCAUAUUACUACCGUCAUUCAUGCUAUCAUGAAACUAAUAUUACCCAUAUAUAAUAGAUAAUACUAAAAUGCAUGGGCAACUAUGUGACUCAAAAAUUAUUUUAAAGUUUCAAGUAUAAACCCUUUUAAUUCUUAAGUUAAGCAACGGCGUCAGUAAUUAUAAAAGGAUCUAUAAUCGUAUACCAACAUUUCACAAUAACAUGCGUUUCCGUUAGCUAAAGUCUAUAUCAUUGUGAGAAAUUCUAAAUUCUAUGGACAUAGCUUCUAAUUAACCAAUUUAUACAGUAAGAUUAAGCUAAUAUCCAUAAAUUCCCAAAUGGUAAUAUAAACACUUAUUUCACAAAAGAAAUACUCUACGGAAGCAAACACUAUCCAGAUCAUAUAGUAUCAAUUAUUAACGUAAAUAUAACUCAUACUUACUAGAAGACAACCAUGAAGAGGGCAACUAAUGCACUAAUAUAUUCAUAUGACCAUCGACACUUUAUUUUACUUAAUUAAGAGAUAAUUAAAAAUAAUAGUCUUGCAUGAUUUCAUACAUGAACGAAUUUACGAUGGAAAAUAAACUGGAGACAAGAUUUUUAAAACAAAUAAACAAAUAUUUCAGAUCUUCGAAUACAGGAAAGCCGAGAAGAAAGAUUUCGAAGUUACUUACCUUUUUGUGGGCAGUGAAUGGGGCAUCGUCAAGAGGAUCUCCGGCUUUGGCUCAACUCUUUCGUAAGAUCAUCAAAUGCGUACACAAAAAAAAAUAAAAGCUUUGACAAUGCUAUGGACUAAAUAGAGGUCAAAAAGCAGAGAAAACUUAAAGCUGGAUUUUAAGAGAGCAAGGAAGAAGAUAAGCUUUGAAUAGUUAGCCACUGAGGGUGAAGGGAGAUAGAAGGGGGGGUGGCCAACCAUUAGUUUUUCUAGUAAAAUGGUGGCUGAAGCUUAAACUUAUAGGGGAUAGAGGAACGGCCAGAGCUUAAAGGUUAAAGGAGGGGGUUCAAGCUUGUGGGUUUAAAGAGAGGUGUAACUGCUCUCAAAAGCUCUGCCCCAAUAUAUUCCAAAUGCAAGUAUUUAUAGGUGAAGAAGUAGGGUUCAUGUUCCUGAUUUUGAAAUUCAAAAUCCCAUGGCAGAAAAGGAUCACGGGUAUUUUGAUUCAAAAGAGUCGUUCGAGGCAGCUGAUUUUCAACGGGCAAAGUGUAGGUGUGGCAGUAGAGAUUUUACAAAAAAUUUCUAAUCUCCUUCUGGCAUUGGAAAAAUAUAGAAGAAA